rnacentral:rRNA from 1 species
GACGAACGCUGGCGGCGUGCUUAACACAUGCAAGUCGAACGGAAAGGCCUCUUUCGGGGGGUACUCGAGUGGCGAACGGGUGAGUAACACGUGAGUAACCUGCCCUUGACUUUGGGAUAACUUCAGGAAACUGGGGCUAAUAUCGGAUAGGAGCUCCUGCUGCAUGGUGGGGGUUGGAAAGUUUCGGCGGUUGGGUAUGGACUCGCGGCUUAUCAGCUUGUUGGUGGGGUAGUGGCUUACCAAGGCUUUGACGGGUAGCCGGCCUGAGAGGGUGACCGGCCACAUUGGGACUGAGAUACGGCCCAGACUCCUACGGGAGGCAGCAGUGGGGAAUAUUGCACAAUGGGUGGAAGCCUGAUGCAGCAACGCCGUGUGCGGGAUGACGGCCUUCGGGUUGUAAACCGCUUUCGCUCAUGACGAAGCUUUGUGUGACGGUAGUGGGUAAAGAAGCACCGGCUAACUACGUG